AUUAGCUAGUUGGUGGGGUAAAGGCCUACCAAGGCGACGAUCCAUAGCUGGUCUGAGAGGAUGAUCAGCCACAUUGGGACUGAGACACGGCCCAAACUCCUACGGGAGGCAGCAGUGGGGAAUAUUGGACAAUGGGCGCAAGCCUGAUCCAGCCAUGCCGCGUGAGUGAUGAAGGCCCUAGGGUUGUAAAGCUCUUUCACCGGAGAAGAUAAUGACGGUAUCCGGAGAAGAAGCCCCGGCUAACUUCGUGCCAGCAGCCGCGGUAAUACGAAGGGGGCUAGCGUUGUUCGGAAUUACUGGGCGUAAAGCGCACGUAGGCGGAUCGAUCAGUCAGGGGUGAAAUCCCAGGGCUCAACCCUGGAACUGCCUUUGAUACUGUCGAUCUGGAGUAUGGAAGAGGUGAGUGGAAUUCCGAGUGUAGAGGUGAAAUUCGUAGAUAUUCGGAGGAACACCAGUGGCGAAGGCGGCUCACUGGUCCAU
rnacentral:rRNA from 1 species